rnacentral:rRNA from 1 species
GAUGAACGCUGGCGGCGUGCUUAACACAUGCAAGUCGAACGAAGCGCUUUAACCUGAUUCUUCGGAUGAAGGUUUUUGUGACUGAGUGGCGGACGGGUGAGUAACGCGUGGGUAACCUGCCUCAUACAGGGGGAUAACAGUUAGAAAUGACUGCUAAUACCGCAUAAGACCACGGAGCCGCAUGGCUCAGUGGGAAAAACUCCGGUGGUAUGAGAUGGACCCGCGUCUGAUUAGGUAGUUGGUGGGGUAACGGCCUACCAAGCCAACGAUCAGUAGCCGACCUGAGAGGGUGACCGGCCACAUUGGGACUGAGACACGGCCCAAACUCCUACGGGAGGCAGCAGUGGGGAAUAUUGCACAAUGGGGGAAACCCUGAUGCAGCGACGCCGCGUGAGCGAAGAAGUAUUUCGGUAUGUAAAGCUCUAUCAGCAGGGAAGAAAAUGACGGUA